rnacentral:rRNA from 1 species
CAAUAGCGUAUAUUAAAGUUGUUGCAGUUAAAAAGCUCGUAGUUGGAUUUGUGGUUUGGUUUGUCGACCGAUGGACUUUGUCUGUUGCGCUGUACGGACCUGCCUUUUAUGGGACUGUCUUCUUUGUGGCAUUAGGUUGUCGCAUUGUUGAUGCCCAUCUUUUACUGUGAAAAAAUUAGAGUGUUCAAAGCAGGCUUAUGCCGUUGAAUAUAUUAGCAUGGAAUAAUGAUAUAGGACCUUGGUACUAUUUUGUUGGUUUGCGCACUGAGGUAAUGAUUAAUAGGGACAGUUGGGGGUAUUCGUAUUCCAUUGUCAGAGGUGAAAUUCUUGGAUUUUUGGAAGACGAACUACUGCGAAAGCAUUUACCAAGGAUGUUUUCAUUAA